rnacentral:rRNA from 1 species
CAGUCGCCACGGUAAUAUGUAGGGUGCGAGCGUUAAUCGGAAUUACUGGGCGUAAAGCGUGCGCAGGCGGUUGUGUAAGACAGGUGUGAAAUCCCCGGGCUUAACCUGGGAACUGCGCUUGUGACUGCACAGCUAGAGUAUGGCAGAGGGGGGUGGAAUUCCACGUGUAGCAGUGAAAUGCGUAGAGAUGUGGAGGAACACCGAUGGCGAAGGCAGCCCCCUGGGCCAAUACUGACGCUCAUGCACGAAAGCGUGGGGAGCAAACAGGAUUAGAUACCCCUGUAGUCCCUGUCUCUUAUAC